CCCGAGGGGGGAGUCGAGGAUUCAGAGGAGACAACGCCGCCGCCGCCCGCUCAACGCACCGCCGCCAGAAUCCUCCUCAAGACGCCACCGCCCGACGCCUCGACGCCAGCGUACCUCCUCAGGCAUACCCCCGGCUAGGAUUUUCCGCAGCUACCUCGACGCGCCGCCGCCGACCGCAGUCUCUUCGACACGCCGCCGCCGACCGCAGUCUCCUCGACACCGGCCAGGGAAGCUGGCAUUUCCCCCCGGACCUGAUCUCGCGGAAGACGGGCGACCACGCUUUGCUGCCACAUGUCUCCUCCACACCCUGCAGCCUGCAAACAUGUCUCGGAGCAUUCGCCGAUCAAACAUGUGUUUAUGUUGUAAUGAAUCGUUAACUUUCUUUGAUCGAACAUCUUGUAUUUUUCAUUUGGACCGUGGCAUGUAUGCAUGUAGCAUUUUCAUUUGAACCGUUGAUAGUACUCGCAGCAGAUUAUAUGAGCCUUUUUGUUAUUUUGCGUAAUCUAGUUGCACCUUUGUUGCAAGUACAUUUCUUCU